rnacentral:lncRNA from 1 species
AAAAUGAAGGACCAAAAUUAAAACUAAUCAAAGCCUGCUUUAAAAAAUCCCAUUCUAUAGAAUCAAAGGCUUUUUCAAAAUCUACUAGUAAUAACAAUCCUUCUAUAUCAUUUUUUCUAGAUAGUGCAUUAAAUCAUAUAGAAGUCUAGUGUUCUCUCCUAUGAAUCUCCCUUUCAUAAAGCCCUUUUGUGUGUCACUAAUAAUGGCGAACAGUACCUUUUUAGCUCUACCAGCAAGAACUGCAGAUGCAAUUUUCAUAUCUGUGUUCAUCAAGCUGAUCGGUCGCCAGUUACCCAUGUACCUCCUAUCUUUCCCUUCCUUAGGAAUACAAGUAAUAAUACUUUGGUAUUGAAAAUCUGAAAAAUGGCCCAACUCAUAUCCAAAUUGCAGAGAUCUAAAGACAAAUGGACCAAUAUCUUUCCAAAAAAAAUUGAAAAAAUCCACUGUAAAUCCAUCAGAUCCUGGAGACUUGCCAUUUUGCAUCUGUUUUAAAGCUUCCCCA